CCUUGACAUCCAGAGAACUUAGCAGAGAUGCUUUGGUGCCUUCGGGAACUCUGAGACAGGUGCUGCAUGGCUGUCGUCAGCUCGUGUUGUGAAAUGUUGGGUUAACGUCCGCAACGAGCGCAACCCUUAUCCUUUGUUGCCAGCGGUUCGGCCGGGAACUCAAAGGAGACUGCCGGUGAUAAACCGGAGGAAGGUGGGGAUGACGUCAAGUCAUCAUGGCCCUUACGGCCAGGGCUACACACGUGCUACAAUGGCGCAUACAAAGAGAAGCGACCUCGCGAGAGCAAGCGGACCUCAUAAAGUGCGUCGUAGUCCGGAUUGGAGUCUGCAACUCGACUCCAUGAAGUCGGAAUCGCUAGUAAUCGUAGAUCAGAAUGCUACGGUGAAUACGUUCCCGGGCCUUGUACACACCGCCCGUCACACCAUGGGAGUGGGUUGCAAAAGAAGUAGGUAGCUUAACCUUCGGGAGGGCGCUUACCACUUUGUGAUUCAUGACUGGGGUGAAGUCGUAACAAGGUAAGCGUACGUGU
rnacentral:rRNA from 1 species